rfam:Thalassiosira oceanica strain CCMP1005 To_g10233, whole genome shotgun sequence.
GCUCUUGUAACUCAGUUGGUAGAGUGUAGCCUUUACACGGCUAAAGUCGGGAGUUCGAUCCUCUCCGGGAGUA